rnacentral:rRNA from 1 species
GGCGGCGUGCCUAACACAUGCAAGUCGAGCGGGGACGAUUGCGACGGAGUAUGAAGUUUCGGUAGUGGAGUUUGAAGAUGCAAUGUUCUAGCGGCGGACGGGUGAGUAACGCGUGAGCAACCUGUCCCUUACAGGGGAGUAACACAGCGAAAGUUGUACUAAUACCGCAUAAGACCACAGAGUCACAUGGCUUAGGGGUCAAAGGAGCAAUCCGGUAAGGGGUGGGCUCGCGUCCGAUUAGAUAGUUGGUGAGGUAACGGCCCACCAAGUCGACGAUCGGUAGCCGACCUGAGAGGGUGAUCGGCCACAUUGGGACUGAGACACGGCCCAAACUCCUACGGGAGGCAGCAGUGGGGAAUAUUGGGCAAUGGGGGAAACCCUGACCCAGCAACGCCGCGUGAGGGAAGAAGGUUUUCGGAUCGUAAACCUCUGUCCUUGGUGAAGAGAGAGAGACGGUAGCCAAGGAGGAAGCCCCGGCUAACUACGUGCCAGCAGCAGC